UUUCUUGUCCGCCUUCUGUGCUUCCCCUUCCUCGUCCACCUCCUGGGCUCUUUCCAUUUUCUGUUUUUCCAGUUCUUCCUGCUCGCAUUUGCUGCUGGGAAACUUGUCUUUGUUGUUUUCCUUUUUCCAUUUCAUCCUCCUGUUCUGGAACCAGAUUUUGACCUGCCUUUCUGUCAAUCCCAGGGCAUGUGAGACCUCGAUCCUCCGUUUGCGGGUCAGCCCCCUCCCUGCCUCCUCCCCCGCCGAGGACUUGCUCAAGAUGUGCUGGGGGAUGAUGGAGAACUCAAAGUAUUGUCUCGCUUAUCACAUCCAGAACAGAACCCUCAUGCUGAAUGUCUGGAACGUCAGAAUCAUUUUCGUCUUGUAAUUUGGAAGAAAUAAAGACCAAAAUAAGCAUGAACUAA